CAAAGAGAGGCUGUUGAUAUUGGUCACAGGGGAUGGGCCAUUACCAUUGUGACGUCGGCGCCCAUGGCUACUCUCCCUUUUCGAAACGUUUUGAAAGACAAUGCAACCGUCCCCAUGGAAUCUUAUUGGAGCUCUAGUUGAAAAACGCCCAAAAGAUUUAUGUUAUACAACGUUUGACAUGUUUGAACGAACUUAAAUAUAUAUUUUUUGCUCAUUCCUGACGACAAGUCCGACGCACACGGUACAUUUUCAGUAGCCUUAGAGCGCGCUAACACUAUUGGGACAUAAAUUAUUAACUUUUUCGAACAAAACUACAUUUGUUAUGGACCUUGUAUUCCUAGAAGUGCCUUCUGAUAAAGAUAAUCAAAGCCGUUACAGAAUCCCCCACCAACAACGGAACAAGCAGCGGAGGAAGGAACAGCGCCAGGAGGAGCAAGGAUCCUGGACCAGGGAGAGAAAGGAAUGGACAUGGGAGGACAUCCUGGACGGCAAGGGAUCCUACACUUGGGAAGAGAUCCUGGUCGGAAGGGAUCGCCUCCCAUGGGAACAGGU
rnacentral:lncRNA from 1 species